rnacentral:piRNA from 1 species
CUGUUCGUGCAUUAGGUAUAAAGA